UGCGGUUAUACAAAAAUUAAAAUAAAUUUUUUUAAAAAUAAAUUAAUAAAAUAAUAUUUAAAAUUUAAAUUUUAAAUUAUUAAGUGAAAUUUUAAUUUAAUUAAAAAUUAUUUUAUAUUAUGAAUUAAUAAAUUUUAUUUAUAAACUAGGAUUAGAUACCCUAUUAUUAAAAAUUUAAAAUAAUAGUUUUAAAAUAGUAGAUAUAAUUAUAUUGAAACUUAAAUAAUUUGGCGGUAUUUUAGUUCAUUUAGAGGAAUCUGUCUAAUAAUUGAUAAUCCACGAAUAAAUUUACUUAAUUUAAUAUUUUGUAUAUCGUUGUUAAAAAAAUAUUUUAUAAUAAAAAUAAUAUUUAAAAAUUUAAAAUAAAAAUUAAAUCAGAUCAAGAUGCAGAUUAUAAUUAAGAAUAUGAUGGAUUACAAUAAAAUUAUUUAAGUGAAUAUUAAUUUGAAAAAAUUAAUUGAAAAUGGAUUUAAAUGUAAUUUUUAUUAAUUUAUAAAAAUGAUUAAAAAUUAAAAUAUGUACAUAUUGCCCGUCGCUUUCAUUUAUAAAUUGAAAUAAGUCGUAACAAAGUAGAGGUACUGGAAAGUGUUUCUAGAAAGAA
rnacentral:rRNA from 1 species